GACGAACGCUGGCGGCGUGCUUAACACAUGCAAGUCGAACGGAAAGGCCCUGCUUUUGUGGGGUGCUCGAGUGGCGAACGGUGAGUAACACGUGAGUAACCUGCCCUUGACUUUGGGAUAACUUCAGGAAACUGGGGCUAAUACCGGAUAGGAGCUCCUGCUGCAUGGUGGGGGUUGGAAAGUUUCGGCGGUUGGGGAUGGACUCGCGGCUUAUCAGCUUGUUGGUGGGGUAGUGGCUUACCAAGGCUUUGACGGGUAGCCGGCCUGAGAGGGUGACCGGCCACAUUGGGACUGAGAUACGGCCCAGACUCCUACGGGAGGCAGCAGUGGGGAAUAUUGCACAAUGGGCGGAAGCCUGAUGCAGCAACGCCGCGUGCGGGAUGACGGCCUUCGGGUUGUAAACCGCUUUCGCCUGUGACGAAGCGUGAGUGACGGUAAUGGGUAAAGAAGCACCGGCUAACUACGUG
rnacentral:rRNA from 1 species